UUGGGGUGACCUGCGGAAGGAUCAUUA
rnacentral:rRNA from 1 species